rnacentral:misc_RNA from 1 species
GAUGAAGAACGCAGCGAAAUGCGAUAAGUAAUGUGAAUUGCAGAAUUCAUUGAAUCAUCGAAUCUUUGAACGCACAUUGCGCCCGCCAGUAUUCUGGCGGGCAUGCCUGUUCGAGCGUCAUUUCAACCAUCAAGCCCCGGGCUUGUGUUGGGGACCUGCGGCUGCCGCAGGCCCUGAAAUGCAGAGGCGGGCUCGCUGUCACUCCGAGCGUAGUAGUUACAUCUCGCUCUGGGCGUGCUGCGGGUUCCGGCCGUUAAAAGCCUUAUUUACCCAAGGUUGACCUCGGAUCAGGUAGGAAGACCCGCUGAACUUAAGCAUAUCAAUAAGCGGAGGA